rnacentral:rRNA from 1 species
UACGUAGGGGGCGAGCGUUGUUCGGAUUUACUGGGCGUAAAGGGCGCGUAGGCGGCAUGACAAGUCACUUGUGAAAUCUCUGGGCUUAACCCAGAACGGCCAAGUGAUACUGUCGCGCUAGAGUGCGGAAGGGGCAAUCGGAAUUCUCGGUGUAGCGGUGAAAUGCGUAGAUAUCGAGAGGAACACCUGAGGUGAAGACGGGUUGCUGGGCCGACACUGACGCUGAGGAGCGAAAGCCAGGGGAGCAAACGGG